rnacentral:rRNA from 1 species
ACGUAGGGGGCAAGCGUUGUUCGGAAUUACUGGGCGUAAAGGGCAUGUAGGCGGUUUAGUAAGCUUGGCGGGAAAGAUCACAGCUCAACUGUGGGGAAAAGUUGAGAACUGCUGAACUUGAGUUACGGAGAGGGAGCUAGAAUUCCUGGUGUAGGGGUGGAAUCUGUAGAGAUCAGGAAGAAUACCGAUGGCGAAGGCAAGCUUCUGGCCGUUAACUGACGCUGAGGUGCGAAAGUGUGGGGAUCAAAUCG